AACGAACGCUGGCGGCAGGCUUAACACAUGCAAGUCGAACGGGCGUAGCAAUACGUCAGUGGCAGACGGGUGAGUAACACGUGGGAACCUUCCUCGUAGUACGGAACAACUCAGGGAAACUUGAGCUAAUACCGUAUACGUCCGAGAGGAGAAAGAUUUAUCGCUAUGAGACGGGCCCGCGUCCGAUUAGGUAGUUGGUGGGGUAACGGCCUACCAAGCCGACGAUCGGUAGCUGAUCUGAGAGGAUGAUCAGCCACACUGGGACUGAGACACGGCCCAGACUCCUACGGGAGGCAGCAGUGGGGAAUCUUGGACAAUGGGCGCAAGCCUGAUCCAGCCAUGCCGCGUGAGUGAAGAAGGCCUUAGGGUUGUAAAGCUCUUUUGCCGGGGACGAUAAUGACGGUACCUGGAGAAUAAGCCCCGGCAAACUUCGUGCCAGCCGCCGCCGUAAGAC
rnacentral:rRNA from 1 species